GUGGCAGCCGCCGCGGUAAAACCAGCACCUCAAGUGGUCAGGAGGUUUAUUGGGCCUAAAGCAUCCGUAGCCUGAUCUAUAAGUUUCCGGUUAAAUCCAAAUGCUCAACAUUUGGGCUGCCGGAAAAACUGUAGAUCUAGGGAGUGGGAGAGGUAGACGGUACUCGGUAGGAAGGGGUAAAAUCCUUUGAUCUAUUGAUGACCACCAGUGGCGAAGGCGGUCUACCAGAACACGUUCGACGGUGAGGGAUGAAAGCUGGGGGAGCAAACCGGAUUAGAUACCCGGGUAGUCCCAGCUGUAAACGAUGCAGACUCGGUGAUGCAUUGGCUUGUGGCCAGUGCAGUGCCGCAGGGAAGCCGUUAAGUUUGCCGCCUGGGAAGUACGUACGCAAGUAUGAAACUUAAAGGAAUUGGCGGGGGAGCACCACAAGGGGUGAAGCCUGCGGUUCAAUUGGAGUCAACGCCAGAAAUCUUACCCGGAGAGACAGCAGAAUGAAGGUCAAGCUGAAGACUUUACCAGACAAGCUGAGAGGUGGUGCAUGGCCGUCGCCAGCUCGUGCCGUGAGAUGUCCUGUUAAGUCAGGUAACGAGCGAGACCCUUGCCUCUAGUUGCUACCAUUGCUCUCUGGAGCAGUGGGGCGAAUUAGCGGGACCGCCGCAGUUAAUGCGGAGGAAGGAAAGGGCUACGGCAGGUCAGUAUGCCCCGAAACUCUGGGGCCACACGCGGGCUGCAAUGGUAGCGACAAUGUGUUCCAAACCCUAAAGGGGGAGGUAAUCAUCAAACGCUACCACAGUUAUGACUGAGGGCUGCAACUCGCCCUCACGAAUAUGGAAUCCCUAGUAACUGCGUGUCAUUACCGCGCGGUGAAUACGCCCCUGCUCCUUGCACACACCGCCCGUC
rnacentral:rRNA from 1 species